UACAGAGGGUGCGAGCGUUAAUCGGAAUUACUGGGCGUAAGGCGUGCGUAGACGGUCAUGUAAGUCGGGUGUGAAAGCCCCGGGCUCAACCUGGGAAUUGCAUUCGAGACUGCAUGGCUAGGGUGCGGAAGAGGGAAGCGGAAUUUCCGGUGUAGCGGUGAAAUGCGUAGAUAUCGGAAGGAACACCAGUGGCGAAAGCGGCUUCCUGGUCCAGCACCGACGUUCAGGCACGAAAGCGUGGGGAGCAAACAGG
rnacentral:rRNA from 1 species